UUUUGCUUUGUUUCCGACAGU
rnacentral:piRNA from 1 species